UACGGGGGGGCAAGCGUUGUUCGGAAUUACUGGGCGUAAAGGGUUCGUAGGUGGCCUACUAAGUCAGACGUGAAAUCCCUCAGCUUAACUGGGGAACUGCGUCUGAUACUGGGGGCUUGAGGACAGGAGAGGAACGCGGAAUUCCAGGUGUAGCGGUGAAAUGCGUAGAUAUCUGGAGGAACACCGGUGGCGAAGGCGGCGUUCUGGACUGUUCUGACACUGAGGAACGAAAGCCAGGGGAGCAAACGGG
rnacentral:rRNA from 1 species